rnacentral:rRNA from 1 species
CCUACGGGAGGCAGCAGUAGGGAAUCUUUCACAAUGGGCGAAAGCCUGAUGGAGCAACGCCGCGUGCAGGAUGGAGGCCUUCGGGUUGUAAACUGCUUUUAUAAGCGAGAAAUAUGAUGGUAACUUAUGAAUAAGGAUCGGCUAAACACGAGCCAGCAGCCGCGGUCAUACGUAGGAUCCGAGGAUUAUCCGGAUGGACUGGGUGUAAAGAAUUGCGUAGGUUGGAUAAUAAAUAGCUAGGGAAAUCGGGUGGCUCAACCAUUCAGACUAUUAGCUAAACUGUUAAGCUCGAGACCGUUAGGGGUAACUGGAAUUUCUAGUGUAGGAGUGAAAUCCGUAGAUAUUAGAAGGAACACCAAUAGCGUAGGCAGGUUGCUGGGACGGUUCUGACACUAAGGCACGAAAGCGUAGGGAGCAAACGGGAUUAGAUACCCUGGUAGUC